GACGAACGCUGGCGGCGUGCCUAAUACAUGCAAGUCGAACGCUUCUUUCCUCCCGAGUGCUUGCACUCAAUUGGAAAGAGGAGUGGCGGACGGGUGAGUAACACGUGGGUAACCUACCCAUCAGAGGGGGAUAACACUUGGAAACAGGUGCUAAUACCGCAUAACAGUUUAUGCCGCAUGGCAUAAGAGUGAAAGGCGCUUUCGGGUGUCGCUGAUGGAUGGACCCGCGGUGCAUUAGCUAGUUGGUGAGGUAACGGCUCACCAAGGCCACGAUGCAUAGCCGACCUGAGAGGGUGAUCGGCCACACUGGGACUGAGACACGGCCCAGACUCCUACGGGAGGCAGCAGUAGGGAAUCUUCGGCAAUGGACGAAAGUCUGACCGAGCAACGCCGCGUGAGUGAAGAAGGUUUUCGGAUCGUAAAACUCUGUUGUUAGAGAAGAACAAGGACGUUAGUAGCUGAACGUCCCCUGACGGUAUCUAACCAGAAAGCCACGGCUAACUACGUG
rnacentral:rRNA from 1 species